UACGUAGGUGGCAAGCGUUGUCCGGAUUUACUGGGCGUACAGGGCGUGCCGGCGGUCUGUUUAGUCUAGGGUGAAAGCUCCCGGCUCAACUGGGAGAGGUCCUUGGAUACUGGCAGACUUGAGGGAGGUAGAGGAGAGUGGAAUUCCCGGUGUAGUGGUGAUAUGCGUAGAUAUCGGGAGGAACACCAGUGGCGAAGGCGGCUCUCUGGGCCUUACCUGACGCUGAGACGCGAAAGCGUGGGGAGCGAACCGG
rnacentral:rRNA from 1 species